UACGGGGGGGGGCAAGCGUUGUUCGGAAUUACUGGGCGUAAAGGGCUCGUAGGCGGCCAACUAAAGUCGGACGUGAAAUCCCCUCGGCUCAACCGGGGGAACUCGUCCGAUACUGGAUGGCUUGAAUCCGGGAGAGGGAUGCGGAAUUCCAGGUGUAGCGGUGAAAAUGCGUAGAUAUCUGGAGGAACACCGGUGGCGAAGGCGGCAUC
rnacentral:rRNA from 1 species